rnacentral:rRNA from 1 species
AUGGGAUUAGCUWGUWGGUGGGGUAAMGGCUCACCUAGGCGACGAUCCCUAGCUGGUCUGAGAGGAUGACCAGCCACACUGGAACUGAGACACGGUCCAGACUCCUACGGGAGGCAGCAGUGGGGAAUAUUGCACAAUGGGCGCAAGCCUGAUGCAGCCAUGCCGCGUGUAUGAAGAAGGCCUUCGGGUUGUAAAGUACUUUCAGCGGGGAGGAAGGGAGUAAAGUUAAUACCUUUGCUCAUUGACGUUACCCGCAGAAGAAGCACCGGCUAACUCCGUGCCAGCAGCCGCGGUAAUACGGAGGGUGCAAGCGUUAAUCGGAAUUACUGGGCGUAAAGCGCACGCAGGCGGUUUGUUAAGUCAGAUGUGAAAUCCCCGGGCUCAACCUGGGAACUGCAUCUGAUACUGGCAAGCUUGAGUCUCGUAGAGGGGGGUAGAAUUCCAGGUGUAGCGGUGAAAUGCGUAGAGAUCUGGAGGAAUACCGGUGGCGAAGGCGGCCCCCUGGACGAAGACUGACGCUCAGGUGCGAAAGCGUGGGGAGCAAACAGGAUUAGAUACCCUGGUAGUCCACGCCGUAAACGAUGUCGACUUGGAGGUUGUGCCCUUGAGGCGUGGCUUCCGGAGCUAACGCGUUAAGUCGACCGCCUGGGGAUACGGCCGCAAGGWAAAACUCAAAUGAAUUGACGGGGGCCCGCACAAGCGGUGGAGCAUGUGGUUUAAUUCGAUGCAACGCGAAGAACCUUACCUGGUCUUGACAUCCACGGAAGUUUUCAGAGAUGAGAAUGUGCCUUCGGGAACCGUGAGACAGGUGCUGCAUGGCUGUCGUCAGCUCGUGUUGUGAAAUGUUGGGUUAAGUCCCGCAACGAGCGCAACCCUUAUCCUUUGUUGCCAGCGGUCCGGCCGGGAACUCAAAGGAGRMUGCCAGUGWNNAACUGGAGGAAGGKGGGNNUGACGUCAAGUCNUCAUGGMMSNNACGACNAGGGCUACACACGUGCUACAAUGGCGCAUACAAAGAGAAGCGACCUCGCGAGAGCAAGCGGACCUCAUAAAGUGCGUCGUAGUCCGGAUUGGAGUCUGCAACUCGACUCCAUGAAGUCGGAAUCGCUAGUAAUCGUGGAUCAGAU